CUCACUCUACUAACAAACCCUAACCCUAGCAAAUUAAAGAUUAAUCUGCUGCCAUUGUUGUGACUGUCUUCUUCGUCAUGCUCACUCUGCAAGUGUCGGGCUUCCUUGAUUGGUGGUAGCGUUGUCGGAGUGUCCCAGAUGAUGAGAAGGAUGAAUGGGCGAGACUUCUGAUUGAUGGCUCUCUUUAGUACACAGCUCGGGAAAGAGUUAGAAAGAUCAUGGUUAUUCACUUUGGUCUAAAAUAAUUUGCAGGACAAUAUAUAUUGCCUUUGACAUUCAGUAGUAUACAAUUUAUAAUCUUUUGGAUCUGGUGUAAUGUGUUAUGCUCAUAAUUUUGCAAACAAUUAUUUUGAGCAUAAAUAUGGGAAUUGGACAUGAAUACUUAUACUUUUGAACAA